ACAGGAAGCUGACAUGGGCAGCAGCUUUAGAAGCUCCUACUGCCAGUACUCAGCGUUACACUGAGCUUCAAUGCGCUGACACAGGCUUGUGCAGAAAGGGGUCGGCGACCUCCUCCCCUGGUGCCUCCACUGACUCCUGUGCCCUAUACAGAAACACUAUCUUCAGAGAUUUUUUAAUGUUAAAAGUUACUAUGCACCGAAACGCCUAAAAAUCCGAAUCCGACAAUUCACCAGCUGAGAUGAUGUAGAAGUCAAUGGCGGAUGCCCCUAAAUGUCCCCGAGGAGUUCCAACGUCAUAUAACGCCCUCCAUUUGUAUUGUUGGAAGAAGAAACAAACAAGAAACAAGCAUGUAAUUAAAAGCUUGCUCAGUUGUAAAAUCAAGUCUCCCCGGACAAGUAAGCCUCUGCCAUCUUUUAGAUAUCUAUAUGUAUAGAGAGAGAGAGAGAGAGAGAGAGAGAGAGACUGGCCAGAUGGAACCGGCUCGUGCAGCUUUCCUAGAAUCAUCAGCCGAACCUGAUAAAUGCCGCUGUCUGAAACAUCCGUGGGAUCUAUCACCAGAGAGCAGUUCCCUUCUGACACCUGGGAUUUAAAUAGCUGGUAUUUAUCCCCAAAAUCAGCCGAUGCCUUUCUCACAUGGAAUCCAUCCAGGUUUAUGAGGGGCACAUAACCUUCCUUAUUCAUUUUGCCCCAUUCCAGUUGGACUUUUAGUGGGUUGAGGUGGCGCCGUGUGUGAAACAUACAGGGAAUUAUAUUGGUUGUAUGCGCCUCCAGCUUCAGCUUCUGUUCAAAUAGGGUAAAGUUUUCAACCUUUACCGCUAAAAGAGGGGGAAAAAAACCAUUAGGAUCCUGGAAUCUGCAGCACAGUCUCUAGCAGCCAUCCCCCUGCAAUAGGGGCGCCUACUGAAUCCCAUCCCAUCAACCUGACAUUGAUAUAUAUAUAAGGAAUUGGUUGCACACAUACAGGGGCAGUUAGUGAUUUAGGGGGUAAGGGCAAGAGAAUUAUAUUUUUUACCUGAUGUAGAUUGGAAAAAGAAAAGGAAUAAUCCGAGUAGAAUGAUGAAAAUGUGAAGACUCGUGGGACCCAUCACUGCUGGGCAGGAGAGUCUCCCACGGCCUUCAGAGAUCUUUCUCUGGAAAAGAAACAAAAAUAGAAGAAUAAAUAUGAGAAUGUGAUCUCUCAGCAUAGAAACCAGCAAUGCCAUUAUCCCUGUCACAUUGAUCCUAUCUGCUGCUUCAGCCCAACUGAGCCUUCUAGUUAUUACAGCUCUGUGGCACUUUGGGCAAAUCCAAUAACUAAGCAAAAAGGUAACCACAAAAUAUAGUUUUUUUCACCAUAAAAAUGCAAUUGCAUUUUUUUCUCCACAUUUGAGCUUUAAAGGAAAAAUAUGUUUUAUUUAUACUGAAGAUACAGUAUUAUAGCAACUUGCCAAGUCUCAGAUACUCAUAUUGUGGCAAGAAAUCUAACUUCAAUUUAUAUUACUCAUUGUUUAAAUUACUUAUAGAAUAUUGUUCCAUUUACAUUAUAUUACAUAUUUUAUAUAUAUAUAUAUAUAUAUAUAUAAAAAUCAAACAUUGAAUAACUGUAACUAGACCCACAGCAAAGUUUUUAAGAAUCCUAUAAUAAAUCUAGAUAUGUAUUAAACCUACGGUUAUGUUUAAAUAAUUACAUCUGUUUGCUAUUAUAUAAUACAGUUAAACGUAAACAUAUAAAGCUACAAUUAAAUACUCACAGUUCGUUUUGAUGUUUUAAAAUACAUGAUGAGGCCACUAAUAAUGGCCCCGUCAAGUUCUAAACACCAAAUGAGCUCAGUUUGAGACGUACAGGGUUAUAGCUUCUAGGCUGGUGAUGUCACAAUGCUCACAAGAGAACAGAGUGAUGAUGUCACACAGCUGAUAUCUGGGGCUGCAGUGAAACUGAGCCUAACAGUUAUAUAACUGCCACUUACCAAUGUUACCUGAUUAUAUCUGAGUACAGACAGUAGCAAUACAAUGCUGGAUAAUCUUCUCAGAGAAAGUUAUAACAGUCACCAAUACAUACACUAUACAAGGGUAUAACUAUCGGGCAGAUUAAUGAGAGAUCAAGCUGUGGAAUAUAACAUAAAAAGAGAAAAAAAGUGUGCAAAUACUUUUUGCCUUUUUCUUUAUUACUCACGUGUCAGAAUAAUUAAACUGAAUAAAAACCAUCCUAUAGAAAUUAGGUUUGUAGCCCUAUUGUGAUGGUCUAAUGCCUAGAUUAAAAGUAAGCCGACUGUACCAAUAAAUUGCACUGCCCAAUGUAUAAGUUAUACACCACUAUGUGACAAAUUCAAUACAUUUCUGCUGUCAGAUACUCUAGUCAUUUACCCAAUAAUAUGUAAAUCUCUGCCAUUCUUUCCCUUUGUGAGGCUGAUUCUGUCAGUAA